UACGUAGGGUCCGAGCGUUGUCCGGAAUUACUGGGCGUAAAGAGCUCGUAGGUGGUUUGUCACGUUGUUCGUGAAAACCCACAGCUCAACUGUGGGCGUGCGAGCGAUACGGGCAGACUAGAGUACUGCAGGGGAGACUGGAAUUCCUGGUGUAGCGGUGGAAUGCGCAGAUAUCAGGAGGAACACCGGUGGCGAAGGCGGGUCUCUGGGCAGUUACUGACGCUGAGGAGCGAAAGCGUGGGGAGCGAACAGG
rnacentral:rRNA from 1 species